AAAAAAAAACACAUACCGCCGUCGUGAGUUCAGUGUUUCUGGUGCAUUCAUUCUGACAGACCAUUGACAAACGCAUCUCUAUAAGCAACGUAUAUUGCAACGAAAAGCAAAGCUGCUUUGUGUUAUUCGAUAAAAUCGUGGUUUCUCCACUACGCAGUGGGAUUAAUACGAAGUUUUGUGUUGGGACGAUUAACUAGCGGUUGUUGGCAUUACCCCCAUUGGAACUGGGCUACUCAUAUUAUUGGAUAUUGCUUCAGACUGAAAAAAAGCUAUCAAAAUGAUGUUCUUGGAGAUUGUGAUGAUAUUGGUCUUUAUUCUUUGGUUAAUUCGACGAAAAGUUGCAACAUCACACAAGGCUGGUCACAUUGUACGCUACGAAGGAGGAAUCACCUUACCGAUUAUUGGCAACAUAGGGGGCACAGCUGUGUUUGAGCGGAGAGCAUCAAAAGUGGAUCCGCCGAAAACGACAUGAGUAGUCGCAUAUCUGUGACAUGGAUGAAAGACCCACCGGAGUGACUAAUGGCGGUUUUUGUUUUCAGGAAUUUUUAUACUGCCAUUAUCUAGCAAGUGUCCAUUUUUGUUCAGUAUAGGAAAUCAAGAAAAAGGCAUGUUAUUGUUCAGAAUGGUCUUAAAAGGAAAAUACACGAUGUACAAAUAACGUGAUACUGUUGUUUUUAGUUAUGUCCUUUGUAGGUGUAGCCGAGUCUUGUCUGAUCGUACGACGGCUGAUACGACAUAGCGGUCCUUUAUCUUACCGUGAAAUAGCAAUACCAUGUUCUUAGCCUUAUAUAGCUGUGCCAGCUAGUGGCAUGUAGGCCCCGGCACGUGGUGAGACCCCCACCGUUUAUGACAUGCUACGUUUGAUAAAUGCAGCAAUAUGCCACAUUGUGUUAUAAGAAAAGUACGGAUAUUGUCGGAAUUGAAUGUUAAUUUAUUUAGAAUUUCUUGUAAAGUGAAACUAUAGAAUUAAUAAAGAAAUGCAUACAUAGUAAAA